CGAUUUGUGUUCUCGUCUUCCCACGAUCCUCUGAUCAACUUCCCACCUCCAUCACUUUAAUCAACUGAUCUUCUGGAAAUCACCACAUAUGUAUAGUAUAAAGAUUUAUAUCAUAGUGAAUUAACACAAACGCUCCUCCUCUCAACAAGUAUUACUAUCUCUACUUGCAACAUGAAACUGGAUUUUACACCGAUUGCUCAACUAGAGUCCGUGACUGAGAGCGAAAUUUGGAAAAUUAAAGCACGAGUUGCCCGUUUUUGGCGAUUCCACAAUAACGAUAAGCCUGGAGAUUCUGGUGGAUUUACUCCUUGUGGAUGAUAAGGGAGACUGUAUACAAGCAUGCAUCAGAGGAAAAUUAAUUCAAAAGUUCGAAAAAGAUCUCCAAGAAGGAGAAUGUUGUAUACUGAUGAAUUUUAAGUUGUCUCCUAAUCUUGGAAGUUACAGGGCAACUGACAUUCUUUCAAAAUCUUUUUCACUUGGUCAACAAUUGUGAAGCCUUGUGAGGAAAUCCCAAACCACUCACUUCGUUUCAGUUUCAUCCCUUUUGAUAAGCUUCAGAGACAUGACGAAAACGUGUUCCUUGAUGUAAUUGGUGAAAUCAUUGGAAUGAAAGAUCUUAAGGAAAUUACUGUUCGCAAUGCUCCAUGUAAACUGUUGAAUCUUCAACUCAAGAGCCUUGAGUUAGUAGCUUCCAACUUGGUAAUCAUUCUUAUUAAUCUAUUAUGUAUCUCCCU